GGGCUCGGUUCAGAAUCAAACCACAGCUUCUAUACCCCUAUAUAUCUUACGGUUACAGGGCACAAAGGCACCAGGUGCAGAAGAUGGUAGCUGCUGCUAAUACCACCUCAGGCAAUGAUGUGGUGAAACAACUGAAAGAAUUCGAUGAAUCAAAGAUCGGUGUGAAGGGCCUUGCAGACUCCGGCAUCACCCCUAUUCCUAAAUUCUUCGUACACCCGGCUGAAACCCUUUCUGACCUGAAAUGCUGUCAAACACACACCAAUAUACCUGUUAAUUAUCUCACCAACUUAAUCUCCACUACCCACCGUCCCAAGAUCGUUGAACAAAUCAAAGGCAGCCAAAACCUGGGGCUUCUUUCCAAGUUACCAACCAUGGGAUACCCAUUUCAGUGCUGGACCAAACAACUCAAGCUAUAAGAGCAUUCCAUGAGCAACCACCAGAAAUGAAGGCCGAGUACUACAAACGUGAAAAUGAGAUGGGAGGUGUCAUACUUGCAAGCAAUAAUGAUUUGUAUCGCACGCACGACUUGCUUCAGGUAUGGACAGGAAUAAAGGCGGCGGAGGUGGAGGAUAUACCGGAGAUACGUAGGAGAGAGGUGGUCGAAUGGGAUUUGUGUGCUACCGGAUUUGCUGAGGCUCUGAUGGAGGUGUUGAGUGAAGGGUUAGGUUUGGAGAGUGGAAAGUUUAAGGAGUUGGCAUUUUCGGAAGGUAGGGUUUUCGUGGGGCAUUAUCAUCCGUUCUGCCCACAGCCAGAUCUGACGAUGGGAAUAAGGUCGCACCCCUCUUUCAAAGAACUCACUCUACAAGAACUCCUUGACAACUUUUAAUGGCACCAUUAAUGAAACUCAGCUCCCAACCAGUCGAUUCCUGCAAAUUAUGAUCCAGUUUGGGCUUUUUUAUUGUUAUGAUCUUAAGUGUCAAAGAUCAAAGAAGCAAUAAAGCUCAAAGUUGCAAGUCAUCACCAACGAUACACAAUUUUCUAGUGUAGGUUUACAUCCCUUUUACCUCUAGAACUGAACGAUUCUUUUUCUUUUCAUUUCAACUUUAUAUGGAAAUUUUCAUCCCAAUUGAAGCAGAGAGAUAUUCCAUUCAUCAAACAAAGGAAUAAUGCUUGACUAGUGGAUAGUUGCUACAAAAACAAAAUGUCAUAUAGCAAUUUCAAAAAUAAAAUAUCUGAUCCAUCUAACAGGAUUCGAUAAAAUUUAACCACACAGUGGCUUUUGCUAAAUCCAAACCAAACAUGCAGGAUAAAAUAACAAAUCUAACACUCAAGUCUUUAAACGCCAUAAAAGCACUACUCUGCAUCAGAGUUUACUUGAUCUUCUUCUUGGGCCUCAACUGCAAAAAAGAAAAACAUAAGUUUCACGUCUUCUAAAGGAGGUUCAAUGCAACAUAGAAAACCGCCAAGUAACAAUCAUAUAAUUGUCGAAUUAAAGAAGAACAAGAACCUGAUUGCUAUGACCACAUUUCUUCUUCCGGCAGUUAACAGCCCUUGGAUGCAGUCGAGCAUAACAUCUAGACACCAAAUAUGAAAAAGAGCUAAUGAUUAAUUGAAUGCUGUAGUUAAAUGCCCACUAAUUAAAAUAUGCCCUAAAAUACAGUAUUUCUUGUUGUGAUCAGCACAUCAUAUGGUAUUAUAGCAACCAAUGCCACAGAAAGUGAACUAGUCAGAGAAUAAGCAACCAAAGCCAAGAACAUUUUCAUAUGUUAUGACUGAUAUCUUAACUCACAUGCACAUUUACAUUUAAUACAAACUGUCCAGUAAAAUUAACCGGAAGUAAAGCCCAAUCAACAAAGAUGAGAAUGGAAAUCAAUCUUGGGACUAGGAUGCCCUCCGUUGCACUACUGAGAAAAAGACCGUUCAACUAGGAGUCCCACCAACAAAACAAACACAACAAAAAGUGUUGACAGAAGCAGGAAAAAUAAGGAUGAAGAAAGGUACUGUUAAGAGUUAUAUACCAUCCUCCUGAGCACAGAACCCCUCACACUCUUGACUUAAAUCUCUAAUUACAGGACGUAAAGUACUCAUUCUUUUUUCUUUUCACAGCUUGAUACGAAAAAUGGUUCAGCUUUGAAAGUAAACAGUCCUUUGGUGAUAAUUAUACUCAAGAUCUGGUCUCAAUCCACAUAAAUUUGUUCUCUUGACAAAUCACAUAGACAGGAAGAAAAGGGGAAAUGAAAACAAUUCCAUCAUAUAUGAACAAUAGAUUGUCAAGAAGAAAAAUAUUUCAUUCAAACAAGUGCAGGAAACAAAAUGUACCAGCCAUGAAAAUCAACUGAAUGGAAAAAUUCAAGCUGACAAAGUUGAAGAAUGGAAAUUAAUAUCGGGAACAUGUAUGACCUCUUGUGCACAUUUAAGAGCAAAGAAGCUAAGUAAGUUCCCCAAGGCUAAAGAAACGGUACAUGAUCUGAAACAAGCUUCCUAAAUUCCGACACCCAACUCUUUCGAAAUAUCAUGAAAAUAAAACAUAUUAACUAAACACUUAUACUAUAUGCAGGUUUAAAAAACUAAUAAAAGAAGAUCCAAUAAGAUCCAAAGUAAACAAGAGGAGAAACGGGCAUACUUGCGGCAGAUCAUCUUGUCUUGAUUGUAUUUGCGAGCCAAAGCCAUAAGAGAAGGCUCUAUAAUUCCUCCCCUAAGCCUCAGCACAAGAUGUAGGGUUGAUUCUUUCUGGAUAUUGUAAUCAGCCAAGGUUCGGCCAUCUUCAAGCUGCUUCCCAGCGAAAAUCAAUCGCUGCUGGUCCGGCGGGA
rnacentral:misc_RNA from 1 species